rnacentral:siRNA from 1 species
GAUAAGCUGAUUGUUGAGAUGCC